UGCAUGUGUGUGUGCAUGUGCAUGUAUGUGCAUGUACAACAUCUGUCCUGUGUCUGGCUUAUGUCA
rnacentral:miRNA from 14 species